rnacentral:rRNA from 1 species
CUGGCUCAGGACGAACGCUGGCGGCGUGCCUAAUACAUGCAAGUCGAGCGAACAGAGAAGGAGCUUGCUCCUUCGACGUUAGCGGCGGACGGGUGAGUAACACGUGGGCAACCUACCCUAUAGUUUGGGAUAACUCCGGGAAACCGGGGCUAAUACCGAAUAAUCUGUUUCACCUCAUGGUGAAA